rnacentral:rRNA from 1 species
UACGUAGGGCGCAAGCGUUGUCCGGAAUUAUUGGGCGUAAAGAGCUCGUAGGCGGUUUGUCGCGUCUGCUGUGAAAACCUAAGGCUCAACCUUGGGCUUGCAGUGGGUACGGGCAGACUAGAGUGCGGUAGGGGUGACUGGAAUUCCUGGUGUAGCGGUGAAAUGCGCAGAUAUCAGGAGGAACACCCGGUGGGCGAAGGCGGG